UACGUAGGGGGCAAGCGUUGUCCGGAAUCAUUGGGCGUAAAGCGCGUGUAGGCGGUUCGGUAAGUCUGCUGUGAAAGUCCAGGGCUCAACCCUGGGAUGCCGGUGGAUACUGUCGGGCUCGAGUCCGGAAGAGGAGUGUGGAAUUCCUGGUGUAGCGGUGAAAUGCGCAGAUAUCAGGAGGAACACCAAUGGCGAAGGCAGCACUCUGGGACGUGACUGACGCUGAGACGCGAAAGCGUGGGGAGCAAACAGG
rnacentral:rRNA from 1 species